rnacentral:tRNA from 1 species
AGAAAGAUAAGCUAAUUAAGCUAAUGGGUUCAUAUCCCAUACAUAGAGGUUACUACAUUUAAUCCUCUUCUCUCUA